AGGGAGCGGAGGUGUGUGGGGAAGCAGGCCGGGCAGCCCCCGAGGUGCGCUGCAGCCCCUUGGCCGCCCGCUCCCGCCGUGUGGUGCGCGGGGCGGCUGCGGGAGGCAGCGGAGUCUGACUCGGCCGGCAGCGUUAGGCACGGCUGCUGCGGGCGUGUGCGCCGGCAGUGGCUGCUGCGGGGACACGGGGGGUGUGGCUCAAGUUACGGAGGGUGCGGAGCGUCAUCUUGGCGUGGGAGCCAUCCUUGUCAGAGGGGCUGGGUCCGCCGUGGUAGCCUCCCGUGACAGGCUGUGCGGGUCUGCUGGUCCUUGGGCUGCUUCCAGUGCCUGAGGGAGGCCUGCACGAAAGCCUGGCAGGGACGUUUUGCAAGGGCGUGUAGUGAUGGGACAUGAGGUAAUGGCUUUAAACUGGAAGAGGGAAGGAUAAGGUUAGAUAUUGGGAAGGAAUUUGUCACCAUGAGGAUGGUGAGGCACUGGCAGGGGUUGCCCAGGGGAGCUGUGGGUGCCCCAUCCCUGGAUGGGGACUGCAGAAAGUACUGCAGCCAGGAUUUUCUUGGAGAUCAGUCUAAACCUUACUCCGUAAACAUCUGAGAUAAUAAUUAAUGUCUGGGGCAUAUUCCCAUAGUUAUAUGCCAAAGAAGUCCAGAUAUUACUGAGGUACUUUGCAAGUUUAUGUCAGAGUUGACCCCUAAGGCCAAGUUGGGUGUCUGCUGAAAUCAACAUGGACAGCAAGCUGUAAGGAGAAACACCGUGCUAUCCUUCCCAUCUCCUGUAAAACUUUGGAUAAAUUGUGUUUUUCUCUCAGUGCUAUUAAUAUUAAGCAUGAGUAUACUGUCAGUGCUGCAUGAAACAGCAGGGCAAAACUGUCUCUCAUUGGCAGAAGCUCCUGAAGCAGGUGCUAGGGCAUGCUUUUUUCCCUUUAACUUGAGUUUGUAUUUUUAUAUCAAAUGGGAAAAAAACAUCAGGAUAAAUGGGUAUGACAGGACUGCCUUCCCCCGCACGUUAGUAUGUAGUGUUCUUGGCCAAGUGACCUGUAAAACAGUCAUGGGAAGCCCUGUGGGAUUCUCCGUUGGGGGCUGGGAGAAUGGAGAGAGAAAUAAAGGUUAAGAUUCUUAGAUGCAGAAAGAACCGCAUUGCAGUGUAGGGGUAUAGAGACUUUCCUGCAGGCAGGUGGAGACAGUUCAGGACGAAAGGAUGCCAGAACUUCCCAAAGACCCUGUCUUGAGUUGGCCUGGUUAGCUGCUUUGCUUAAGGAACAUUGAGGGCAGCUCACAACUAUGCUGGGAUUACUGUAAGAGGUUUCUGUACUUUUCACUUCUGCACUGAACGGAUUUAGGUUUUUCCAUUAGCCAUUGUGUGGCUUCACAGAGUUACAUUUUCCUUGAAUGAUUGCCAUAUGCCUAUUAAAAAACAGAUUAUCCAGAGGAAAACCAUUUUUUUUCUUCACCAACUUGGAUUUUUCAGAAAUAAAUGAAUCUGUAUGUAUUUAUUAUGUCAAUAUUUCAUGCUGAAGACAAAAUAAAGAGAUAUUUGCAGUAAGAUUUUUAUGUACCAAAGCGGUAUUAUUUCUUAUGUACAUGAAUAAAAUCUUAAUGUGCCUAGAAUCAUGUUUACAUUUUUUCAACUACAUUAAUUCACGUAAGGUAUUUUCUGUCCCUGCCAGGGUUGCCUUUGUAGUUUCAUAAAGCACUGACCUCUGCUCUCAUCCUAAGAUUUUUAGUAUAUAUUUGAUAGUGGCUGGCAGUGAUGUAGCUAAUGUAUUCUAGAUAUCUUGUUCAUUAACAUCUCAUAAAUAUCCAAAUAGUGGCCUAGGCUUGGAAGUAGGAAGAAAGCUCGUGCACACUGAAAAACGUGGAGUGAGAAUUUCAAAUGCAAUUUCAUUUUUUUAGGUGCCUCAAGUAUUAAAGAGGCUAAACAUCAAAACCUGAAGCAGACUGCCGAGACUUGGCACAGUGCUCCUGGAGCUUCUGUUUUUCAACUCAUAGUGGGGAAAGGAAUUGAUGAAUUGUUACUUUUCUCUUUGCAAAUAUUUUACGUAGUUUUUAUUAACUUAGCUAGCAAAUCUUAGCAAUUUUUUCAUGUUUCCACAACCAUCCUCACACUUUGGCAGUCCUGAGGUUUUUUUAAAUGGAGAUUUCCAGCCAGCUUAAGCUGCACGUGCUCAGCCGCUUGGGGAACUGCAGCCGACUCGUAUUUAGUGGCAAAUUUAUUUGAAAUAGCUGAAGAAGUUACAGCUCCCAGCUGUCUUGUGGCUCUUCAAUGACCAUGUGAGGAUCUGCCAAUGUCAGCUUACUUCGGCACACCUGUGGGGGGUGGUCUUUGGCAGAGGGUGGGCAGCAAGUGUGAACUGCUUCACUCUGCCAUACUGAAUCUGCUAGAAAAGUCUGCUGACCCUGGGCUUACACUUGGCAUCUAUUAAGAAAUUUCUGAGUAUUUUGGAAAGCCAAAUUUUCCUACAUCUUUUUCAAGAGUGUGAACGUGCUGCCUGCUAGAGUAUGUGCUUCAUCUUCAUAGCACUGUUUACAUAGUGAUGGCGUGGACAAUGUAUUACCUUGCUUUAGAGAAUGCUCAGAUGUUACGUUUACUUAGUUGAUCACAUAGAGUGGCUUGUAAAAUGUGUGAUUAUUAAUUUGUAUUCCAGAAGGCUCAUAACCUGCAGCCUCAGUUCUCCAGGCAUGUAGAUGCUUAUCAAUAAGCAUAUGAUAUCAAAGAUGUUGUUCAUGUAUUUAGAGUUGAACACUGAUGCUAUGCUGAUGGUUCUGGGUCAGCAUUAAGGUAACAGUACAAUAAAUGACAACGUUAUGUGAGAAAGGCAUGUGGACUUAAGGCCGGACUUCAGACCAUUAGCUAAGAAACUAAUGAAAGAUCAAACAUUAUGCUGUUGCAUUGCUUAGGAUGUGGAAUUUUUAAAAUUCAUUGCAACUUUUCAUGUUUUUUUAGCUCUAUUUGCUGUUCUCCUUUGCUCAGUAACUAAUAUGACUUGAAUACUGAUUAAAACACUCCCCUUAAAUUUGCAACUUGGCAGUACAGCCUCAGGCACGUGUUAACAACUCCUUAGAAAGUAUCUCACAGUCUUUUGGUAUUUCCACGUCAUUUAGCAUAGCAUUGCAUUUAUACACUAGUUUUGUCUGAUGCUGACUAGCCAUCAGCUUUUCUAAAAGAAAAGUUAAAUAACAUACUUCUUUGUGCUGCAGAGUUUUUUGUUUUGUUUUGUUUUUUUUUCAGGCUGCAGCUGGUUUAUACUGAUGUCUUGAAGUCUAAAUGUGAAAGGUGAAAAAUGCUCCCGAAUAGUCAAACAGAAAUGGAACAAGAAGUUUGAAAUGAGAAUUAAUUGUACACAUUGUACCUGCUGCUAUUGUGAGAAGACUUUAGAAUGCCAAAUAUCAAUAUAUUCUUAGCUUUAUCAGAGAUCCAAGGGAAAAUCUGAGGGAAAACUUGAGUGUCAUGAAACAACUGGAAUAGUAACCACUUGUGCACUUCACAUGCCUCAGCAAGAAGGAAUGGUUGCAGAAUCCCUUUCUCUGUAUUACCUCUGUCGAGAAAAACUGUGGGAGCCCUAAAAAGCCAAUAAAAAGUAAAGGCUGUUGACACUUUAGGCUGAAGAUUAUACACGGACCUUUCUGGAAAGGCCAAAGUUCUGUGCUUUUCUUCAAGAUAUAUAAUGUUAAUCUCGGAUGUUCUGAAAUACAGGCUUAUCUGUUAAAAUGCUGUUGUUUGUCCUCUUCUCCAGAAGCUAUGUCCCUCUCUAUGUUUGAAUUAAUACAGCUUUACCUGAAGCUAUUAGUAAUUCAAGGAUAUGAUAUUGUUACACUAAAUUUUACCUCAAUGAUGGUAGUUUUUGUAAAUAACACUGACAAAAGAUGUAUCUCUAGUACCCUGAGCUGUAGAAACAAAAGGGAUAUGGAAAAUUUUGAAAAUAAUUAAAAAGUAAAUACUUCUUUUAUUGUA